rnacentral:rRNA from 1 species
AUUGAACGCUGGCGGCAGGCCUAACACAUGCAAGUAGAACGAGUGGCGGACGGGUGAGUAAUGUCUGGGAAACUGCCUGAUGGAGGGGGAUAACUACUGGAAACGGUAGCUAAUACCGCAUACCAUCAGAUGUGCCCAGAUGGGAUUAGCUAGUUGGUGGGGUAACGGCUCACCAAGGCGACGAUCCCUAUCUGGUCUGAGAGGAUUACCAGCCACACUUGAAAUGAGACACGGGCCAGGCUCCCUCGGGGAGGAAGCGUGGGGAAUAUUUCACAAUGGGCGCAAGCCGGGUUCAGGCAUGCCGCGGGUAUGAAAGAGGCCUUCGGGUUUGAAAAUACUUUCAGCGGGGAGGCGUUACCCGCAGAAGAAGCACCGGCUAACUCCGUGGCAGCAGGCGCGGUAAUAC